rnacentral:lncRNA from 1 species
GGUGGUAGUAUGUCAAAUUGGUGACAUAAGCUGUUGGGUCAUCACUGUCUUCUAGCUCUGAGGUAAAGUCACUCACACUUUCAAACAAGUGUUCUGCUGAAUCCACAUCCAGGUGCUUCUCUUUUCCAUUGGGUAUACUGUGGUCGAUGACUAUUGUUUCAGUGUUUGCUAAACAAAAUCCAUUUGAUCGCAUGAUUUCUGAUAUUUUAACGGGACUUUGAAAGCUUGGCUGAAUUUUAUGGACAUUGUCAUUCUUUAGAACUUGGUCCAAAGGAGAUCUCUCAAAGAAUGUGAGGACUACUUCAGAUCUCGAAUACUUCCAUGGCAUGUUUAUUAUAGUCUUCAGAAG